rnacentral:rRNA from 1 species
UACGAAGGGUGCAAGCGUUAAUCGGAAUUACUGGGCGUAAAGCGCGCGUAGGCGGUUUGUUAAGUCUGUUGUGAAAUCCCCGGGCUCAACCUGGGAAUGGCAAUGGAUACUGGCGGACUGGAGUGUGGUAGAGGUUAGUGGAAUUCCCAGUGUAGCGGUGAGAUGCGUAGAUAUUGGGAAGAACACCAGUGGCGUAGGCGACUAACUGGGCCAUAACUGACGCUGAGGAACGAAAGCCAGGGGAGCGAAUGGG